rnacentral:rRNA from 1 species
GACAGAGGGUGUAAACGUUGCUCGGAAUUACUGGGCGUAAAGCGCGUGUAGGCGGGCUGGAAAGUCGGGCGUGAAAUCCCCAGGCUCAACCUGGGAACUGCACUCGAAACUCCCAGUCUAGAGUGGUGGAGAGGGAAGUGGAAUUCCUGGUGUAGGGGUGAAAUUCGUAGAUAUCAGGAGGAACACCAGUGGCGAAGGCGGCUUCCUGGACACCAACUGACGCUGAGACGCGAAAGCGUGGGGAGCAAACAGG